rnacentral:rRNA from 1 species
CCUACGGGUGGCCGCAGUGGGGAAUCUUGCGCAAUGGGCGGAAGCCUGACGCAGCGCCGCCGCGUUCGGGACGCAGGCCUUCGGGUCGUAAACCGCUUUCAGCAGGGACGAGGCCCUCACGGUGACGGUACCUGCAGAAGAAGCCCCGGCUAACUACGUGCCCUCAGCCGCGGUAUUACGUAGGGGACGCACGUUAUCCGGAGUCAUUCGGCGUAAAGCCGGCGUAGGCGGCCUGUUAGGUCGGGGGUCAAAUACCGGGGCUCACCCCCGGUCCGCCCCCGAUCCCGGCAGGCUUGAGUCUGGUAGGGGAAGGCGGAAUUCCCAGUGUAGCGGUGGAAUGCGCAGAUAUUGGGAAGAACACCGGCGGCGAAGGCGGCCUUCUGGGCCACGACUGACGCUGAGGCGCGAAAGCUAGGGGAGCGAACAGGAUUAGAUACCCGGGUAGUC